CCUUACUGGUCUUGACAUAGUAAGAACUUUCCAGAGAUGGAUUGGUGCCUUCGGGAACUUUACAUACAGGUGCUGCAUGGCUGUCGUCAGCUCGUGUCGUGAGAUGUUGGGUUAAGUCCCGCAACGAGCGCAACCUUUUCCUAUUUGCCAGCGGGUUAAGCCGGGAACUUUAAGGAUACUGCCAGUGACAAACUGGAGGAAGGCGGGGACGACGUCAAGUCAUCAUGGCCCUUACGACCAGGGCUACACACGUGCUACAAUGGUCGGUACAAAGGGUUGCUACCUAGCGAUAGGAUGCUAAUCUCAAAAAGCCGAUCGUAGUCCGGAUUGGAGUCUGCAACUCGACUCCAUGAAGUCGGGAUCGCUAGUAAUCGCGGAUCAGAAUGCCGCGGUGAAUACGUUCCCGGGCCUUGUACACACCGCCCGUCACACCAUGGGAGUUUGUUGCGCCAGAAGUAGGUAGUCUAACCGCAAGGAGGACGCUUACCACGGUGUGGCCGAUGACUGGGGUGAAGUCGUAACAAGGUAGGCGUAGAUGA
rnacentral:rRNA from 1 species